rnacentral:rRNA from 1 species
UGGGGAAUAUUGCACAAUGGACGGAAGUCUGAUGCAGCAACGCCGCGUGCGGGAUGACGGCCUUCGGGUUGUAAACCGCUUUUUCUCAUGACGAAGUUUUUUGACGGUAGUGGGGGAAGAAGCACCGGCUAACUACGUGCCAGCAGCCGCGGUGAUACGUAGGGUGCGAGCGCUGUCCGGAAUUAUUGGGCGUAAAGAGCUUGUAGGCGGUUUGUCGCGUCGAUAGUGCAAACUCAGUGCUUAACGCUGAGCCUGCUGUUGAUACGGGCAGACUAGAGGAAGGUAGGGGAGAAUGGAAUUCCCGGUGGAGCGGUGGAAUGCGCAGAUAUCGGGAGGAACACCGGUGGCGAAGGCGGUUCUCUGGGCCUUUCCUGACGCUGAGAAGCGAAAGCGUGGGGAGCGAACAGG